rnacentral:rRNA from 1 species
AGCGUACACGGUGGAUGCCCUGGCAGUCAGAGGCGAUGAAGGACGUGCUAAUCUGCGAUAAGCGUCGGUAAGGUGAUAUGAACCGUUAUAACCGGCGAUUUCCGAAUGGGGAAACCCAGUGUGAUUCGUCACACUAUCAUUAACUGAAUCCAUAGGUUAAUGAGGCGAACCGGGGGAACUGAAACAUCUAAGUACCCCGAGGAAAAGAAAUCAACCGAGAUUCCCCCAGUAGCGGCGAGCGAACGGGGAGCAGCCCAGAGCCUGAAUCAGUGUGUGUGUUAGUGGAAGCGUCUGGAAAGGCGCGCGAUACAGGGUGACAGCCCCGUACACAAAAAUGCACAUACUGUGAGCUCGAUGAGUAGGGCGGGACACGUGGUAUCCUGUCUGAAUAUGGGGGGACCAUCCUCCAAGGCUAAAUACUCCUGACUGACCGAUAGUGAACCAGUACCGUGAGGGAAAGGCGAAAAGAACCCCGGCGAGGGGAGUGAAAAAGAACCUGAAACCGUGUACGUACAAGCAGUGGGAGCCUCUUUAUGGGGUGACUGCGUACCUUUUGUAUAAUGGGUCAGCGACUUAUAUUCUGUAGCAAGGUUAACCGAAUAGGGGAGCCGAAGGGAAACCGAGUCUUAACUGGGCGUUAAGUUGCAGGGUAUAGACCCGAAACCCGGUGAUCUAGCCAUGGGCAGGUUGAAGGUUGGGUAACACUAACUGGAGGACCGAACCGACUAAUGUUGAAAAAUUAGCGGAUGACUUGUGGCUGGGGGUGAAAGGCCAAUCAAACCGGGAGAUAGCUGGUUCUCCCCGAAAGCUAUUUAGGUAGCGCCUCGUGAAUUCAUCUCCGGGGGUAGAGCACUGUUUCGGCAAGGGGGUCAUCCCGACUUACCAACCCGAUGCAAACUGCGAAUACCGGAGAAUGUUAUCACGGGAGACACACGGCGGGUGCUAACGUCCGUCGUGAAGAGGGAAACAACCCAGACCGCCAGCUAAGGUCCCAAAGUCAUGGUUAAGUGGGAAACGAUGUGGGAAGGCCCAGACAGCCAGGAUGUUGGCUUAGAAGCAGCCAUCAUUUAAAGAAAGCGUAAUAGCUCACUGGUCGAGUCGGCCUGCGCGGAAGAUGUAACGGGGCUAAACCAUGCACCGAAGCUGCGGCAGCGACACUAUGUGUUGUUGGGUAGGGGAGCGUUCUGUAAGCCUGUGAAGGUGUGCUGUGAGGUAUGCUGGAGGUAUCAGAAGUGCGAAUGCUGACAUAAGUAACGAUAAAGCGGGUGAAAAGCCCGCUCGCCGGAAGACCAAGGGUUCCUGUCCAACGUUAAUCGGGGCAGGGUGAGUCGACCCCUAAGGCGAGGCCGAAAGGCGUAGUCGAUGGGAAACAGGUUAAUAUUCCUGUACUUGGUGUUACUGCGAAGGGGGGACGGAGAAGGCUAUGUUGGCCGGGCGACGGUUGUCCCGGUUUAAGCGUGUAGGCUGGUUUUCCAGGCAAAUCCGGAAAAUCAAGGCUGAGGCGUGAUGACGAGGCACUACGGUGCUGAAGCAACAAAUGCCCUGCUUCCAGGAAAAGCCUCUAAGCAUCAGGUAACAUCAAAUCGUACCCCAAACCGACACAGGUGGUCAGGUAGAGAAUACCAAGGCGCUUGAGAGAACUCGGGUGAAGGAACUAGGCAAAAUGGUGCCGUAACUUCGGGAGAAGGCACGCUGAUAUGUAGGUGAAGUCCCUUGCGGAUGGAGCUGAAAUCAGUCGAAGAUACCAGCUGGCUGCAACUGUUUAUUAAAAACACAGCACUGUGCAAACACGAAAGUGGACGUAUACGGUGUGACGCCUGCCCGGUGCCGGAAGGUUAAUUGAUGGGGUUAGCGGUAACGCGAAGCUCUUGAUCGAAGCCCCGGUAAACGGCGGCCGUAACUAUAACGGUCCUAAGGUAGCGAAAUUCCUUGUCGGGUAAGUUCCGACCUGCACGAAUGGCGUAAUGAUGGCCAGGCUGUCUCCACCCGAGACUCAGUGAAAUUGAACUCGCUGUGAAGAUGCAGUGUACCCGCGGCAAGACGGAAAGACCCCGUGAACCUUUACUAUAGCUUGACACUGAACAUUGAGCCUUGAUGUGUAGGAUAGGUGGGAGGCUUUGAAGUGUGGACGCCAGUCUGCAUGGAGCCGACCUUGAAAUACCACCCUUUAAUGUUUGAUGUUCUAACGUUGGCCCCUAAUCGGGGUUGCGGACAGUGUCUGGUGGGUAGUUUGACUGGGGCGGUCUCCUCCUAAAGAGUAACGGAGGAGCACGAAGGUUGGCUAAUCCUGGUCGGACAUCAGGAGGUUAGUGCAAUGGCAUAAGCCAGCUUGACUGCGAGCGUGACGGCGCGAGCAGGUGCGAAAGCAGGUCAUAGUGAUCCGGUGGUUCUGAAUGGAAGGGCCAUCGCUCAACGGAUAAAAGGUACUCCGGGGAUAACAGGCUGAUACCGCCCAAGAGUUCAUAUCGACGGCGGUGUUUGGCACCUCGAUGUCGGCUCAUCACAUCCUGGGGCUGAAGUAGGUCCCAAGGGUAUGGCUGUUCGCCAUUUAAAGUGGUACGCGAGCUGGGUUUAGAACGUCGUGAGACAGUUCGGUCCCUAUCUGCCGUGGGCGCUGGAGAACUGAGGGGGGCUGCUCCUAGUACGAGAGGACCGGAGUGGACGCAUCACUGGUGUUCGGGUUGUCAUGCCAAUGGCACUGCCCGGUAGCUAAAUGCGGAAGAGAUAAGUGCUGAAAGCAUCUAAGCACGAAACUUGCCCCGAGAUGAGUUCU